GGGAAUGUGCUCUUGGGUGGGGAAUAACGCAGGGAAACUUGCGCUAAUACCGCAUAAUGUCUUCGGACCAAAGAUUUAUCGCCCAAGAAUCAGCCCGCGGCAGAUUAGCUAGUUGGUGGGGUAAAGGCCUACCAAGGCUACGAUCUGUAGCUGGUCUUAGAGGAUGAUCAGCCACACUGGGACUGAGACACGGCCCAGACUCCUACGGGAGGCAGCAGUGGGGAAUAUUGGACAAUGGGCGCAAGCCUGAUCCAGCCAUGCCGCGUGAGUGAUGAAGGCCUUAGGGUUGUAAAGCUCUUUCAGUAGGGAAGAUAAUGACGGUACCUACAGAAGAAGCCCCGGCUAACUUCGUGCCAGCAGCCGCGGUAAUACGAAGGGGGCAAGCGUUGUUCGGAUUUACUGGGCGUAAAGGGAGUGUAGGUGGUUUUAUAAGUCAGGCGUGAAAGCCCGGGGCUCAACUCCGGAAUUGCGCUUGAGACUGUAGAACUUGAGUGUCUGAGGGGUAAGCGGAAUUCCCAGU
rnacentral:rRNA from 1 species